rnacentral:rRNA from 1 species
CCUACGGGUGGCAGCAGUGAGGAAUAUUGGUCAAUGGACGAGAGUCUGAAGCAGCCACGCCGCGUGAAGGAUGACGGUUCUCGGGGUUUUAACCUCUUUUUAUAGGGGAGUAAAUGACUGUAAGUGACGGAUAAGCUCCGGCUAACUCCGUGCAAGCAACCGCGGUAAUACGGAGGGAGCAGGCGUUACACGGAGUUACUGGGCGUAAAGGGAGCGUAGGCGGGAUAUAAAGUCAGAUGUGAAAUCCUAUGGCUUAACCAUAGAACUGCAGUUGAAACUGGUAUUCUUGAGUAUGGGAGAGGUAGGUGGAAUUCUUGGUGUAGCGGUGAAAUGCGUAGAGAUCACGAAGAACACUGAUUGCGAAGGCGACUUGCUGGAAUGUAACUGACGCUGAGGCGCGAAAGUGUGGGGAGCAAACAGGAUUAGAUACCCGAGUAGUC